UACGUAGGGUGCGAGCGUUGUCCGGAAUUAUUGGGCGUAAAGAGCUCGUAGGCGGUGUGUCACGUCGGCCGUGAAAACCUGCAGCUUAACUGUGGCGUGCGGUCGAUACGGGCAUCACUGGAGUUCGGCAGGGAGACUGGAAUUCCUGGUGUAGCGGUGAAAUGCGCAGAUAUCAGGAGGAACACCGGUGGCGAAGGCGGGUCUCUGGGCCGAUACUGACGCUGGAGGAGCGAAAGCGUGGGAGCAAACAGG
rnacentral:rRNA from 1 species